CAGAGAUUGUAAAAUCAUAACCAUCCAGGAAAUUUGGCACAGAAAAAGUAUUUAUUUCCAUACCAUUUCCAUUAGGAAUUACAAGAAGCAUCUGUCUUUGCAUCUAUCACUAUCUCUACCUAAAAGACUUAAAAAAGACACUUUCAACCCUUGGUGUGAUUCAGUUCUAUUUCAAUAAACUGCUUUAUGAAGAGCAACCAAUUCAGUAAAGCCCAUUUUCCUUGCUGCUAAAUUCUUCACACUGAAGACAGAAAAAUUCCACAAUUACCAGAGGAGUCCUGGGAAAGAAGAAAGUAAUGAAGAUAAUUGAGGACCCCCCAGUUUUACACAUGGGAGGCUGUGCCGCUGAUUAAGGUAUUGCCUCUCUAAAAGGCUACUUACUUUCAUACAGUUCCCAAAACCAAACGCAGUUAAGCC
rnacentral:lncRNA from 1 species